ensembl:lncRNA
CACUUCCUGUGGCCUCCCCUACACCUAUACCACUUCCUGUGGCCUCCCCUACACCUAUACCACUUCCUGUGGCCUCCCCUCCACCUAUACCACUUCCUGUGGCCUCCCCUCCACCAUUCCCUGAGGCUUAUAUCGUCCACCUUCACCUCACUCUUCUGUUGAUGUUGGUGAUGACAUGAUGCUGACCUCCAAACACUGCUGAAGUUAACGAGAUGCCAACCAAAUGAACGUGAUGAGGGACAACGUUUAUGAUUGUGCAAUGAGAGGCUUUUCAGAGAGCCUGCUUUAAUCCAGAGGUAAAAAUAGACAUGGUUUUUAGGGAUGCUGACGGAAAAGGGGCAGCUGAUGAGGGUGGUCCCUCAAGAGAUUUCCCCGGCUGCUAAUGAGUGCCAUCCAGUCCUCUGCAAUAUUUGAGGGACCUGAUUGGCAAAAAUGCCUUUCUUGCAACUCUCGCGCGCUCUAUGAUGGCGUAUACAAGCAGGUGGGCCACAUGACUGCUGUCUGUCUGGUACAUGGGGGUGUAGAGCCACUUUUUGUUAGAGAGGCAAGUGUGUGGUCUCUACAGGCAAGUGUGUGGCCUACAUCCUCCUGUGCCAGAACUGAAAGAAAUAGUAGAAUAUGACUUCAGAGGGAAGUUGGAGAAGUUCAAUAAACAAUCUAAGAUCCAGUUAGCACAAGCUGUUGACGAGGCACAGGAAGCGGUCAUGUUGGGUCCAGUGCGAUACAUUCGUACAUUGGAGAGGGAUGCCCUGGUGGAGUCAGCCACUAAGUUCUACUUAGAAAGCAGGAUACGGGAUGCUCUUGAGCAAUUCAAAGAGGGUCUGGAGUGUCUAGGUCUCCUGCCUUACAUGAAUAGACACUCAAGCCUCUUCAGAGAGGUUUUCAUCUACGCUGAGAAACCUCUUUUGGCCAGACAUAGCAGAGCUCAAAGCAGAGCUCUCCCCACCUGGUACCAAUCAAAGAGCAAUAGAGAGAAGAGUCAUGUUUCUGGAGGGACUGGCUGCUGGAGGUGGAAGGUUAGAUGCAAAACCAUGAUCAUCGAAGUAACAUGGCCCACAUCAGUAAAACAUCACUUAUUCACUCUCACAACUGUGGGACAGCAUUUUGUCGCCUUAUUCUUCCAUGGGCCCCCCAAAAAUGUAAUAGAUAUAUUAAAUCCCAAACUACUUUCACUUAAGAGUAUUGUGUUACUUAUGAACUUUAAUUUCUCCCCCUUCCCUUUUUUUCAGUGGGGAACUCAUUCCCUUUAACCAUGGAGAAGAUUUUCAUUUUCACUUUGGGGGCUUCAACAUUCCUAGGCUGGGAUUGCCAGUGGAACCACAGCUACAGUUCUCUCUGCUACCGCACGGCAAGCGGUACCGGAGCGCCAAGUCUAGGUCCAAGAGGCUUCUAAACAGAUUCUACCCCCAAGUCAUAAGACUCCUGAACAUCUAAUCAAAUGACUACCCAGACUAUUUGCUGCCACUCUCUCUAUGCAUAGUCACUUUAAUAUCUCUGCCUACAUAUAUAUAUUAACUCGACUAACCAGUGUCCCCACACAUUCUCUGUACCGGUACCCCCUGUAUAUAGUCUCCACAUUGACUCUGUACCGUAACACCCUGUAUAUAGUCUCCACAUUGACUCUGUACCGUAACACCCUGUAUAUAGCCUCCACAUUGACUCUGUACCGGUACCCCCUGUAUAUAGCCUCCACAUUGACUCUGUACCGGUACCCCUGUAUAUAGCCUCCACAUUAACUCUGUACCGGUACCCCCUGUAUAUAACCUCCACAUUGACUCUGUACCGGUACCCCCUGUAUAUAGUCUCCACAUUGACUCUGUACUGGUACCCCCUGUAUAUAGUCUCCACAUUGACCCUGUACCGUAAUACCUUGUAUAUAGCCUCCACAUUGACCCUGUACCGUAAUACCCUGUAUAUAGUCUCCACAUUGACUCUGUACCGGUACCCCCUGUAUAUAGCCUCCACAUUGACCCUGUACCGUAAUACCCCCUGUAUAUAGCCUUCACAUUGACCCUGUACCGUAAUACCCUGUAUAUAGUCUCCACAUUGACUCUGUACCGUAAUACCUUGUAUAUAGUCUCCAUAUUGACCCUGUACCGUAAUACCCUGUAUAUAGUCUCCACAUUGACUCUGUACCGUAAUACCCUGUAUAUAGUCUCCACAUUGACUCUGUACCGUAAUACCCUGUAUAUAGCCUCCACAUUGACUCUGUACCGUAAUACCCUGUAUAUAGC